UUGACCUCAAAUCAGGUAGGACUACCCGCUGAACUUAAGCAUAUCAAUAAGCGGAGGAAAAGAAACUAAACAGGAUUCCCCUAGUAACUGCGAGUGAAGCGGGAAAGCUCAA
rnacentral:rRNA from 1 species